GGUUGUAAACCCCUGUCAGGUGGGGCGAAGGGCCUGCAGUGAAUAACUGCAGUCCUUGACGGUACCACCAGAGGAAGCCCCGGCUAACUCCGUGCCAGCAGCCGCGGUAAUACGGAGGGGGCGAGCGUUAUUCGGAAUUACUGGGCGUAAAGGGCGCGUAGGCGGCCAUCUAAGUCAGACGUGAAAUCCCCCGGCUUAACCUGGGAACUGCGUCUGAUACUGGACGGCUCGAGUUUGGGAGAGGGAUGUAGAAUUCCAGGUGUAGCGGUGAAAUGCGUAGAUAUCUGGAGGAAUACCGGUGGCGAAGGCGGCAUCCUGGACCAACACUGACGCUGAGGCGCGAAAGCUAGGGGAGCAAACGGGAUUAGAUACCCCGGUAGUCCUAGCCCUAAACGAUGAAUGCUUGGUGUGGCGGGUAUCGAUCCCUGCCGUGCCGAAGCUAACGCAUUAAGCAUUCCGCCUGGGGAGUACGGUCGCAAGGCUGAAACUCAGAGGAAUUGACGGGGGCCCGCACAAUCGGUGGAGCAUGUGGUUCAAUUCGACGCAACGCGAAGAACCUUACCUGGGCUCGAAAUGCAGCUGACAUCCGGUGAAAGCCGGCUCCCGCAAGGGCAGCUGUAUAGGUGCUGCAUGGCUGUCGUCAGCUCGUGUCGUGAGAUGUUGGGUUAAGUCCCGCAAGGAGCGCAACGCUCGUC
rnacentral:rRNA from 1 species